GCUGUUCCGUUUCCAUAUUGUGCUUCGUGUUCCGUCCCGAUCGGAGGACGUGCUCGCGAUCGCCCCUCGACGGCCUGUCCGCUUCUCUCCUUCGAUCCCCGUCAAGAACUCGGAUCGGAGAGGGAAGAUAGAAGCGGAGCAGCCGCCGCCAAGAAACCUUCUUCGCUCUUCUCGUACGUCCUCUCCUCAUCUGAUCGAGCGGACCGGUUUUGUAUCAGGUGCAUUUGGUUAUAGACAAGAUCGAUGGCUUUGAGAGAGGGGUUCUUCCUUCUUCUUGUACUUGUUAUGAGCUGGGCAAGUGCUGAUGCCAGAAGUUUGAACAAUUUUGAUAUUAUGGUUCCCAUCACAGAAGCAGGCAUCGAGAGACCUCAAAGCCAGAGUAAAGUAGCCAAAGUAGACGAGGGCUAUGAUCAACUGUGCAAGUUGUGUGAGAACUUUACUGCACAGGCUACCCAAUAUCUUGGAGAAAACAAGACUCAAACUGAGAUAAUUGAGACACUUCAUCAAGCAUGUUCCGAGCUGAAGCCUUUCAAGGAUCAGUGCAUUCUGUUGGUCGACUACUAUGCCUCACUUUUCUUUGUUGAGAUCUCUAAGAUACAUCCGGAGGAGUUCUGCACAAAGUUCAGUCUUUGUCAGGAGAGAUUAUCUGUCAAGAGUGAUGAUGCCUGCUCUCUGUGUCAUGGUGUUGUUGCUAAACUACUUAUGAAACUGCAAGAUCCUGACACACAGUUCGAGGUGAUUAAAAUGCUACUUCAGGAAUGCAACAAGGUGGAGAAUUAUGUCCAAGAGUGUAAGAAGAUGGUCCUCCACUAUGGCCCUCUGAUACUGGUCGACGGCGAAAAAUUCCUAGAGAGCACAGAUGUUUGUGCUGCCAUGCACGCAUGCAAGACCAGCCAAGCAGAACUCGUCAGCACUGCCUUGGUGGCAUAAACAUCCUUAUAGCAUGAUACUGCACACAACGUACCCACAUGGAGAAAAUGUGAAAUGAUAAAUCAUGAAGAUGCAUGGACCCAGCUAACCGAUUAUCAAAGAUAAUUUUGUGACCUGGGUUUGCAUCCAUCUCACGAGGCUUGAUUGUUCAUCUACUGAAGAUACAGAUCCAAAGUAUUGAGAAGCACAACAAAUGAGGUUGUUUCAAGCUAUACUCCUUGGCUACAUUAGAAGGCCACUUAUUAUACGGAGAAGGGUAUGAGUCUUUCUCCAUGUUAGACAAAAACAGAUUUCCAUCCAUAUUGACUGGUAUAAAUGUGUCCUAAAUUUCCUUUCAGCUAAUCUAACCCAUACAAAUUCAUCGACUUGUAAAUGAUAGCAUAUUCAUUGCAUAUUUUUACCCUCUCAUAAAUUAUUAUUAUUAUUAAAACAAACAUAUAUAUAUAUAUAUAUAUAUAAUAUUUUUUUUAAUCUGACAUUGUGUCUGACAAAGUCAGUCUGGAUCAUUACUUCAAUAUCAUGUGUAUCUUCUAUUAAAUAUCAACACAGUCUUCCUAUGUGACUUAUUUUGACCGUCAACUCCCACCUCCUCCGGCUCGGGUCGGAUCCGACCCGAUUAGAGUUGGGCAUGGAAUUCGGCUCCACCAUCCCAUGAUAUCAUGUUCCCAUCGAUCCAUAAACGGAUCGGGUACGCGUGGAUCCGAUCAGCCGAUAGAAAUCCGAUCAGGCAACGAACAGCCCGACCUCUUUAGGUCGAGCCGCCGCUCCCCGCCUGUUCUCGCGAACCGAAGCCGAAGGAAUCGUAGUAUGUCGUCGUCUUCUUCGAGUCGAAGGGCUUCGCUUCCGCGGCGGGGCGUCGCCGACGGCGCCAGCGAGGGCGUCCUGGCCCGCGUGUCGAGCUCGAUCUCGCAGUCCUGGAUCGUCGCCCGGGGGAAGGCGGCCGCCGCCGAGACCGGCACCGUGGCGAAGAAGCUCCUCCGGAGCACCGGCAAGGCCGCCUGGAUCGCCGGCACCACUUUUCUCGUCCUCGUCGUCCCCCUCAUCAUCGAGAUGGACCGCGAGCAGCAGCUCAACGAGCUCGAGAUGCAACAGUCCACCCUCCUCGGCACCCCCACGCCGCCUCAGCCCUACGCCUCCGCGGCCCCCGCCAAGUGAACACGACGAUCAGGUCAGCGCCCGAUCUCGCCCCCCUUGAUCUCCGCUGCGGAUCAUAUGCUUCUUCUUGGGGCUUAGGUCGGCGGUCAUCUUCUUGUCUUGGAAAUAAGGAACUAUCAUGUGUCGGUUUGAUGAAUUAGGGUUUUGUUAGGAACUGGUAAAUUUCUCUUUCUUUUUGAAUCAAAAUAUUCAUCUUGGUUUCA